GAUGAACGCUGGCGGCGUGCUUAACACAUGCAAGUCGAACGGAAAGGCUCCCGCUUGCAGGGGUACUCGAGUGGCGAACGGGUGAGUAACACGUGGGUGAUCUGCCCUGCACUUCGGGAUAAGCCUGGGAAACUGGGUCUAAUACCGGAUAGGACGAUGGUUUGGAUGCCAUUUUGGAAAGUUUUUUCGGUGUUGGAUGAGCUCGCGGCCUAUCAGCUUGUUGGUGGGGUAAUGGCCUACCAAGGCGUCGACGGGUAGCCGGCCUGAGAGGGUGUACGGCCACAGUGGGACUGAGAUACGGCCCAGACUCCUACGGGAGGCAGCAGUGGGGAAUAUUGCACAAUGGGCGCAAGCCUGAUGCAGCGACGCCGCGUGGGGGAUGACGGCCUUCGGGUUGUAAACUCCUUUCGCUAGGGAAGAAGCGCAAGUGACGGUACCUGGAGAAGAAGCACCGGCUAACUACGUG
rnacentral:rRNA from 1 species